CCUACGGGAGGCUGCAGUGGGGAAUUUUGGACAAUGGGCGAAAGCCUGAUCCAGCCAUGCCGCGUGAGUGAAGAAGGCCUUCGGGUUGUAAAGCUCUUUCGCAAGGACAGAAAACUUAGCUACUAAUACUAGUUGAGGAUGACGGUACCUUGAUAAGAAGCACCGGCUAACUACGUGCCAGCAGCCGCGGUAAUACGUAGGGUGCGAACGUUAAUCGGAAUUACUGGGCGUAGUUUUUUCGGAGGCGGUUGAAAUCCCCGGGCUCAACCUGGGAACUGCGUUUGAAACUACAAGGCUAGAGUGUAGAAGAGGGGGGUAGAAUUCCACGUGUAGCAGUGAAAUGCGUAGAGAUGUGGGGGAAUACCGAUGGCGAAGGCAGCCCCCUGGGCUAACACUGACGCUCAUGCACGAAAGCGUGGGGAGCAAACAGGAUUAGAUACCCGAGUAGUC
rnacentral:rRNA from 1 species